UAGCUUGCUAACCGGUCUCCUAGUGGCGGACGGGUGCGUAACACGUGAGCAACCUGCCCUGAAGUGGGGGAUAGCCCUCCGAAAGGAGGAUUAAUACCGCAUGUGAUCUCCGGAUCAAAGACGGCUUCGGCUGUCGCUUCAGGAUGGGCUCGCGGCCUAUCAGCUUGUUGGUGAGGUAACGGCUCACCAAGGCGACGACGGGUACCUGGUCUGAGAGGACGAUCAGGCACACUGGAACUGAGACACGGUCCAGACACCUACGGGUGGCAGCAGUCGAGAAUCAUUCACAAUGGACGAAAGUCUGAUGGUGCAACGCCGCGUGGAGGAUGAAGGCCCUCGGGUCGUAAACUCCUGUCAUCAGGGAGUAAGCCUUGUUCGUUAAUAGCGUGCAAGGUUGAUAGUACCUGAAGAGGAAGGGACGGCUAACUUCGUGCCAGCAGCCGCGGUAAUACGAAGGUCCCAAGCGUUGUUCGGAAUCACUGGGCGUAAAGAGUAUGUAGGCGGUUCGGAAAGUCAGAUGUGAAAGCCCGGGGCUCAACCCCGGAACUGCAUCCGAUACUCCCGAACUAGAGUAAUGGAGGGGUAGCUGGAAUUCUCGGUGUAGCAGUGAAAUGCGUAGAUAUCGAGAGGAAGACUCGUGGCGAAGGCGAGCUACUGGACAUUUACUGACGCUGAGAUACGAAGGCCAGGGUAGCGAAAGGGAUUAGAUACCCCUGUAGUCCUGGCAGUAAACGGUGCACGUUUGGUGUAGGAGGAUUCGACCCCUUCUGUGCCGGAGCUAACGCGUUAAACGUGCCGCCUGGGGAGUACGGCCGCAAGGCUAAAAC
rnacentral:rRNA from 1 species